GCACCCGUAGCUCAACUGGAUAGAGCGUCGGUCUACGAAACCGAAGGCUACAGGUUCGAAUCCUGUCGGGUGUA
rnacentral:tRNA from 1 species